rnacentral:rRNA from 1 species
UACGGAGGGUGCGAGCGUUGUCCGGAAUUACUGGGCGUAAAGCGUGCGCAGGCGGUGAUGUAAGACAGAUGUGAAAUCCCCGGGCUCAACCUGGGAACUGCAUUUGUGACUGCAUCGCUGGAGUGCGGCAGAGGGGGAUGGAAUUCCGCGUGUAGCAGUGAAAUGCGUAGAUAUGCGGAGGAACACCGAUGGCGAAGGCAAUCCCCUGGGCCUGCACUGACGCUCAUGCACGAAAGCGUGGGGAGCAGACAGG